AUGGAAGAGAUGCAUAGGGCAAGGUGUGGGGGUGGGACAUGGAGCUUCUGCGCCCUUUGGGGCACAGCACCUUCCCAGUACCUCAGUGUAUUCACCAACCCAGAAGUCACUGAACCCUGUAGUUUAGAGGUUUCUAUGGAGGUUUCAUCACAUAGCAAGACUGACUAAGUCAUUGCUUAUUGGUGACUAACUCAAUCUGUAGCUCCUCUUCCCUCUCCACAGGUCAGGAGUGGGGCUAAAAGUUCCAACCCUCUAAUCACACCUCGGUGUUUCUGGCCACCAGCUCCCAUCACGACGCUACCUAGGGGCCCCAGCUAUAGUCGACUCAUUAGCAUGUGGAAGAUACUCAUCACUCCGGAAGGGUUUUAGGAGCUCUAUGUCAGGAACCAGGAACAAAGACCAAAUAUUUGUUUUUUAUUACAUCACAAUGCCACAUCCACAGAUCUUCUUUCCCUGACACAGAGAUUUGCUGGCUAAGCUAUUCAAUUUCAUCUAUUCUUGCAGACUUCGUUGUCUCAUUGUUAUGACAAACUGGAGCCAAAUUUAAAAAAUGUUUAAACCACAUUUAGAAGGUAGGAAGCUGGACUCCAUGGUGAACAGCAUUAACAAGUACCACAAGUUUCGAGUGACAGAAGCAUAUCAGCUAUGGAAGCAGAUGGAACAAAAUAAUGUUAAAGGGCCUACGAAGACAAAAGUAAAAGACCCUGAUUGACUGAACAUGCCAGGGUCCAGUGACCAUGACUGAUCAAAACAAUUCUUCCAUAUGGCAGAGUCAUUUGGAAGAAAAGCAACAGCAACUGCAGUGGCCACAUUAGUGUAAGCAGGAGCAGUUCUUAGAGGAAGAGGU